rnacentral:rRNA from 1 species
UACGAAGGGUGCAAGCGUUAAUCGGAAUUACUGGGCGUAAAGCGUGCGUAGGCGGUUUCUUAAGUCUGCUGUGAAAUCCCCGGGCUCAACCUGGGAAUGGCAGUGGAUUCUGGGAGGCUAGAGUGUGUCAGAGGAUGGUGGAAUUCCCGGUGUAGCGGUGAAAUGCGUAGAGAUCGGGAGGAACAUCAGUGGCGAAGGCGGCCAUCUGGGACAACACUGACGCUGAGGCACGAAAGCGUGGGGAGCAAACAGG